GAUGAAGAACGCAGCGAAAUGCGAUAAGUAAUGUGAAUUGCAGAAUUCAGUGAAUCAUCGAAUCUUUGAACGCACAUUGCGCCCGGUAGUAUUCUACCGGGCAUGCCUGUUCGAGCGUCAUUUCAACCCUCAAGCCCUGCUUGGUGUUGGGGUCCUACAGUGUAGGCCCUGAAAACUAGUGGCGGGCUCGCUAUAACUCCGAGCGUAGCAGCAUACAUCUCGCUCUGGGCGUGCUGCGGGUUCCGGCCGUUAAACCACCUUCAUAACCCAAGGUUGACCUCGGAUCAGGUAGGAAGACCCGCUGAACUUAAGCAUAUCAAUAAGCGGAGGA
rnacentral:misc_RNA from 1 species